rnacentral:misc_RNA from 1 species
GAUUUCAGUCGGAUCUCUAUCAGAGCUCUUUUGAGAGCUCACCAUACGUACGGUCGGGUCGGUGGUGCUGCGGCGGCUUAUUUCGCGAAUUGAUUGGCUCUCAGUUCGAGAGACUCUAUGUCCAGUUUACACGUCGCAGUAUACCCCUGGAAUGGUGGUUUGGUCGUGGUCUUCCUCUUCACCCUUAUCUUCGUGAAUACCUCAUCUCAUUUAUUCGGAAAGAGAGGAAACGAAACCUCAGGAGCUUCGACUUCCUCCUGACGAUGUGUAUGCGUCAGAGGAGUUGAAAGAUCUCACUGAGUGUCUGUCCCUUAGAUCUUGGGUUCAGGACUGGCUAGCCUUCCUUCGAUGGUACUGUACUCUUGCCUUUUUA